rnacentral:rRNA from 1 species
UGCAAGUCGAGCGGUAACAUUUCUAGCUUGCUAGAAGAUGACGAGCGGCGGACGGGUGAGUAAUGCUUGGGAACAUGCCUUGAGGUGGGGGACAACAGUUGGAAACGACUGCUAAUACCGCAUAAUGUCUACGGACCAAAGGGGGCUUCGGCUCUCGCCUUUAGAUUGGCCCAAGUGGGAUUAGCUAGUUGGUGAGGUAAUGGCUCACCAAGGCGACGAUCCCUAGCUGGUUUGAGAGGAUGAUCAGCCACACUGGGACUGAGACACGGCCCAGACUCCUACGGGAGGCAGCAGUGGGGAAUAUUGCACAAUGGGCGCAAGCCUGAUGCAGCCAUGCCGCGUGUGUGAAGAAGGCCUUCGGGUUGUAAAGCACUUUCAGUCAGGAGGAAAGGUUAGUAGUUAAUACCUGCUAGCUGUGACGUUACUGACAGAAGAAGCACCGGCUAACUCCGUGCCAGCAGCCGCGGUAAUACGGAGGGUGCGAGCGUUAAUCGGAAUUACUGGGCGUAAAGCGUACGCAGGCGGUUUGUUAAGCGAGAUGUGAAAGCCCCGGGCUCAACCUGGGAACUGCAUUUCGAACUGGCAAACUAGAGUGUGAUAGAGGGUGGUAGAAUUUCAGGUGUAGCGGUGAAAUGCGUAGAGAUCUGAAGGAAUACCGAUGGCGAAAGGCAGCCACCUGGGUCAACACUGACGCUCAUGUACGAAAGCGUGGGGAG